rnacentral:rRNA from 1 species
GACGAACGCUGGCGGCGUGCCUAAUACAUGCAAGUAGAACGCACAGUUUAUACCGUAGCUUGCUACACCAUAGACUGUGAGUUGCGAACGGGUGAGUAACGCGUAGGUAACCUGCCUGGUAGCGGGGGAUAACUAUUGGAAACGAUAGCUAAUACCGCAUAAUAUUAAUUAUUGCAUGAUAAUUAAUUGAAAGGUGCAAUUGCACCACUACCAGAUGGACCUGCGUUGUAUAGCUAGUAGGUGAGGUAACGGCUCACCUAGGCGACGAUACAUAGCCGACCUGAGAGGGUGAUCGGCCACACUGGGACUGAGACACGGCCCAGACUCCUACGGGAGGCAGCAGUAGGGAAUCUUCGGCAAUGGACGAAAGUCUGACCGAGCAACGCCGCGUGAGUGAAGAAGGUUUUCGGAUCGUAAAGCUCUGUUGUAAGAGAAGAACGGGUGUGAGAGUGGAAAGUUCACACUGUGACGGUAUCUUACCAGAAAGGGACAGCUAACUACGUGC